rnacentral:lncRNA from 1 species
CCUGGCUCCACCCACUGCCACCUGGGGCCCUGGGCCUGACCCCUGUUCAUAGGAGAGCACUCAGCUGCAGGUCCGGCUUUCAUCCUAGAUUUUUCCAGGCCAGCAACCAAAACAAUGUCUGAGCUUUUGACUGUGGAAUCAAUCUGGGCUCCACCUGCACAUGGACGCUGUCUUUUACAGCCCUGAGGAGUUUUCACAAUGCCUGUUGGGCUCUGUUAACGCCUCUGUAGGAAAGACAUGACUCCAAAGAAGUUUGGCUGCUGAUCAGCCCUAAGGCCUGGGAAUUCAACCAUCAACAGACUCACCCGAAAGACUAAGGAUUUGGAAUGGCACAUGCUGCCGUCUCUCAGUGCCCCAUGACUACUAUCUUCUGCUUUCAUCUCUU